rnacentral:rRNA from 1 species
UACGUAGGGUGCAAGCGUUUAAUCGGAAUUACUGGGCGUAAAGCGUGCGCAGGCGGUUGUGCAAGACAGAUGUGAAAUCCCCGGGCUCAACCUGGGAACUGCAUUUGUGACUGCACGGCUGGAGUGCGGCAGAGGGGGAUGGAAUUCCGCGUGUAGCAGUGAAAUGCGUAGAGAUGCGGAGGAACACCGAUGGCGAAGGCAGCCCCCUGGGUCGACACUGACGCUCAGGCACGAAAGCGUGGGGAGCAAACAGG